GGCGGGACACGUGGUAUCCUGUCUGAAUAUGGGGGGACCAUCCUCCAAGGCUAAAUACUCCUGACUGACCGAUAGUGAACCAGUACCGUGAGGGAAAGGCGAAAAGAACCCCGGCGAGGGGAGUGAAAAAGAACCUGAAACCGUGUACGUACAAGCAGUGGGAGCCUCUUUAUGGGGUGACUGCGUACCUUUUGUAUAAUGGGUCAGCGACUUAUAUUCUGUAGCAAGGUUAACCGAAUAGGGGAGCCGAAGGGAAACCGAGUCUUAACUGGGCGUUAAGUUGCAGGGUAUAGACCCGAAACCCGGUGAUCUAGCCAUGGGCAGGUUGAAGGUUGGGUAACACUAACUGGAGGACCGAACCGACUAAUGUUGAAAAAUUAGCGGAUGACUUGUGGCUGGGGGUGAAAGGCCAAUCAAACCGGGAGAUAGCUGGUUCUCCCCGAAAGCUAUUUAGGUAGCGCCUCGUGAAUUCAUCUCCGGGGGUAGAGCACUGUUUCGGCAAGGGGGUCAUCCCGACUUACCAACCCGAUGCAAACUGCGAAUACCGGAGAAUGUUAUCACGGGAGACACACGGCGGGUGCUAACGUCCGUCGUGAAGAGGGAAACAACCCAGACCGCCAGCUAAGGUCCCAAAGUCAUGGUUAAGUGGGAAACGAUGUGGGAAGGCCCAGACAGCCAGGAUGUUGGCUUAGAAGCAGCCAUCAUUUAAAGAAAGCGUAAUAGCUCACUGGUCGAGUCGGCCUGCGCGGAAGAUGUAACGGGGCUAAACCAUGCACCGAAGCUGCGGCAGCGACACUAAGUGUUGUUGGGUAGGGGAGCGUUCUGUAAGCCUGUGAAGGUGUGCUGUGAGGCAUGCUGGAGGUAUCAGAAGUGCGAAUGCUGACAUAAGUAACGAUAAAGCGGGUGAAAAGCCCGCUCGCCGGAAGACCAAGGGUUCCUGUCCAACGUUAAUCGGGGCAGGGUGAGUCGACCCCUAAGGCGAGGCCGAAAGGCGUAGUCGAUGGGAAACAGGUUAAUAUUCCUGUACUUGGUGUUACUGCGAAGGGGGGACGGAGAAGGCUAUGUUGGCCGGGCGACGGUUGUCCCGGUUUAAGCGUGUAGGCUGGUUUUCCAGGCAAAUCCGGAAAAUCAAGGCUGAGGCGUGAUGACGAGGCACUACGGUGCUGAAGCGACAAAUGCCCUGCUUCCAGGAAAAG
rnacentral:rRNA from 1 species